rnacentral:rRNA from 1 species
AGAGUUUAGUCAUGGCUCAGGAUGAACGCUAGCGGCAGGCUUAACACAUGCAAGUCGAGGGGUAACAUUAGUGCUUGCACUAGAUGACGACCGGCGCACGGGUGCGUAACGCGUAUAGAAUCUACCUUUUACAGGGGGAUAGCCUUUAGAAAUGAAGAUUAAUAUCCCAUGGUAUUGCGAAGUGGCAUCACUUUGUAAUUAAAGAUUUAUCGGUAAAAGAUGACUAUGCGUCCUAUUAGUUAGUUGGUAAGGUAACGGCUUACCAAGACUUCGAUAGGUAGGGGUCCUGAGAGGGAGAUCCCCCACACUGGUACUGAGACACGGACCAGACUCCUACGGGAGGCAGCAGUGAGGAAUAUUGGGCAAUGGAGGUAACUCUGACCCAGCCAUGCCGCGUGCAGGAAGACUGCCCUAUGGGUUGUAAACUGCUUUUAUACAGGAAGAAACACUGCUACGUGUAGCAGCUUGACGGUACUGUAAGAAUAAGGACCGGCUAACUCCGUGCCAGCA